rnacentral:rRNA from 1 species
AGUUUGAUCCUGGCUCAGAUUGAACGCUGGCGGGAUGCUUUACAUGCAAGUCAGACGGCAGCGCGGACUUCGGUCUGGUGGCAGGUGGCGAACAGGUGAGUAAUGUAUCGGAACGACGCUCGUGGCGGGGGAUAACUACGCGAAAGCGUAGCUAAUACAUACGCCCUUCGAAGGCGGGGACCUUCGGGCCUCGCACUAUUAAACGGCCGAUAUCGGAUUAGCUAGUUGGGUAGAGUAACGGCUCACCAGGCGACGAUCCGUAGCUGGUUUGAGAGGACGACCAGCCACACUGGGACUGAGACACGGCUUGAACUCUGCAGAGGCGGCGGUGGGAAUUUUGGACCGUGGAAGCCCAGUCGAAGCUGCAUCCGCGGUGACGCGAUGAGAAGCCGCUGGGUUGGCUAAAGCGCUGGCAGAAAAACAGCGCAGGAUACCCGUGCAGCUGACAGUACCUGCAAGAAUAAGCACCGGCUAACUACGUGCCAGCAGCCACUUUGUUGUACGGCAGAUGCGGCUGGUCUGUCGGGGAAUUACGGGCGUAAAGCGUGCCGCGGUUCGGAAAAGAUGUGAAAUCCCAGAGCUUAACUUUGGAACUGCAUUUUUAACUACCGAGCUAGUGCUGUCAGGAGGUGAAUUUAAAGCGUCGUAGCAGUGAAACUAAAUGCAGAUACUGCUGGGAGAGGAACUGCUAGGCUGGCGAAGGCAGCCUCACCAGGAUAGCAGCUGCUGGCGCUGUUGCGGCGUGGGGGCGAGCUUGGGAUUGAAUGCCCUGGUGACCGCUUCCCCUGGCGAUGUCAACUUCAACUGGUGCGGGGCCUUCGGGCCUUGGUAGCGCAGCUAACGCGUGAAGUUGACCGCCUGCAGGAAUACGGUCAUAGAUUAAAACUCAAAGGAAUUGACGGGGACCACGGCGGUGGAUGAUGUUGGUUAAUUCGGAAUUUUGCGCGAAAAACCUUACCUACCUUGACAUGUCUGGAAUCCCGAAGAGAUUUGGGAGUGCUCGCAAGAGAACCGGAACACAGGUGCUGCAUGGCUGUCGUCAGCUCGUGUCAUUGAGAUGUUGGGUUAAGUCCACCAACGAGCGCAACCCUUGUCAUUGUAGUUGUCGAAAAGGGCACUCUAAUGAGACUGCCGGUGAUGAAACCGGAGGAAGGUGGGGAUGACGUCAAGUCCUCAUGGCCCUUAUGGUGGGCUUCACGUCAUACAAUGGUCGGGACAGAGGUCGCCAACCCGCGAGGAAGACGCCGUCGAAGCUUCCGAUCAGCAGUCAAGAUCGCGGAAGUCGACCAGGCUUUCGCGGCGCAGUCUCAAAGAAUCAAAAACAAUAGUAAUCGCGGAUCAGCAUGUCGCGGUGAAUACGUUCCCGGGUCUUGUACACACCGCCCGUCACACCAUGGGAGUGGGUUUUACCAAGUGGUUAGCCUAACCGUAAGGAGGGCGAUUACCACGGUAGAAGUUCAUGACUGGGGUGAAGUCGUAACAAGGUAG